UACGUAGGUGGCAAGCGUUGUCCGGAAUUAUUGGGCGUAAAGCGCGCGCAGGCGGUCCCUUAAGUCUGAUGUGAAAGCCCACGGCUCAACCGUGGAGGGUCAUUGGAAACUGGGGGACUUGAGUGCAGAAGAGGAAAGUGGAAUUCCAUGUGUAGUGGUGAAAUGCGUAGAGAUGUGGAGGAACACCAGUGGCGAAGGCGACUUUCUGGUCUGUAACUGACGCUGAGGCGCGAAAGCGUGGGGAGCAAGCAGG
rnacentral:rRNA from 1 species